AUGCUGAGAAGAACAUGAAAAAGAGCCUGGGUCCCUGGUGAUGUGACUGAAUGAACUCUAGAGCUACCCCCCACCCCCCCGACCUCUAUGAGAGAAUAAAACGUCUUCAUUGCCUGUCGCUGUUAGUCAGAUUUUCUGUCACUCACUGCCUGAAUCACACAGUAUUUGAUGUGUGGUUCUAAAAAUACAGGUUUAAGUCCUUCGUUGGUCCACUGGCUCUAACCUGUUGAAAUAUAUCAAUGGAUCUGGAGGUGCAUGUGAGGAGAACUUCACAGUGGAUGCCAGAGCCUGGCUUCUGCUAUAGCUAGGCUGUCAUGUGGAUAAGAGAUGUAUGUGAAGAAGGAUGAGAUAAAGAACAGAGACAAGGAGGGAAAGAGCAGAGCUGUGGACUCACCUCAUGUUUGGUUCGUCCUGUGUCUGGAAAAAUAGUGCUGUGAGGGCACCUGCUGAUGCUUUUAUGCCUCACAUAUCCCACUCCACCCCCUUCUCAAUUUUGUAAUUCUUGUGUCUACACAACUUUGGCCUUGUUAAGGUCACUGGCACUUUCCAGUAACAAAGCCACAAACAUCCCUGCAAAGAGCCAAGCUCUUGCUUCAUGCCUGAACUUCCCCUGGUGUCUUUUACAAACCUCAAAGAACCCUGGCCACAUCUCACCCCAGCUAGCUGCCAAAGUGUUUCCCGGAAUCAGCCGCUGUGCAGGACUCGGGGAGGAACUGUCGAUCUAUGUCUCUUUGUUUUGGAGGGUUUUCAGCACUGAAAAAAACCCCUUCUUUGGGCGAUUUCAGACCCCUUGUGGACACUCCUGCAACCUGGGGCUCUAAAGAAAGCAUUUCCUUUUCAUGAUGGUUUUCCCCACCCUGUGUUGACACCGACCCAUUGCUUAAAAGCUCUCCAGCCUGAAAUCAGUAAAAUGAAUUUAUCGCAUCUUCUCUGAUUGCUCUUUGCAAGAAAUCAUGAAAAACAGUUAAAGCUAUAGUGUGGACUGGUGCAAACCGUACUCGAUGGCAGUGGUUCUCAUGGUUUUAUAGUCCAGUAAUUAAGCCAAAUAGGCAGAUGAGAAAAAUCGAUAUGUUUCAGUCAAAUGCUGCACCUGAGUAUCCCAAGUACUACUCAAUUGAAGUUUAGUAGUAAUUCAAUAAGAUAUUGCUUUGUUCAUUAAAAACAAGGUCAGUGGUUCUUAAAUUAGAGUGUACAAAGGAAUCACUAGGGUAUAUUCAUGGUGGCACUGAUGUAAUAGCAGGAUAACUGGAAACAACACACAUGUCCAUUAAUAGGGGAAUGGGUACAUAAUGUGUGAUAUCUUCAUAUAAUGGAAUAUUAUACAGCCAUGAGAAUGAGUGAACUGUGUAAGAACAUGGGUAAUCUUAUAGUUUGGAAAGCAAAGUUUUCAGAGAUUACAUUAAGAAUGAUACCACUUUUCUAGAGCCCAAAACCAAGAAACUCAGCAAUGGAUUCUUAGAUAUGACGCCAAAAUAACAAGCAAUGAAAGAAAAAAUAGAUAAAUUGGGCUUCAUCAAAAUUAAAAACUUUUGUGCAUCAAAGGAUAGUAUCAAGAAAGUGAAAAGACAAUCUGUGAAUGGGAGAAAAUAUUUACAAAUCAUUUAUCUGAUAAGGAUUUAAUAUCCAGAAUAUAUAAAACACUCCUACAUCAACAACAAAAAAAGACAACCCAAUUAAAACAUGGGCAAAGGAUUUGAAUAGACAUUUUCCCAAAGAAGAUAUACAAAUGGUCAAGAAGCACAUGAAAAGAUGCUCAACAUCACUGGAAAUGUCAUUAGGGAAAUGCAAAUCAAAACUGUGGGAUACGCCCUCACACCCACUAGGAUGGCUACAAUUAAAAAAAAAAAAAAAACAAUAGAAUAAGUGUUGGCAAGAAUGUGGAGAAAUUGGAACUCCUGUAUGUUGCUCAUGGGAAUGUAAAAUGGUAUAGUCUCUGGGGAAAACACUGUGAUGGUUCCUCAAAAAGCUAAACAUAGAAUUGCCAUAUGACCCAGCAAUUCCACUUCUAGGUAUAUACCCAAAAUAAUUAAAAACAGGGACUCAAAUAGGUACUUUAUUGCAGUAUUAUUCACAUUAGCCAAAAGGUAGAAACAAUAUUAGUCACCUAUAAAAAGUUCUGAUACAUGCUACGACAUGAAUAAACUUUGAAAACAUUAUGCUAAGUGAAAGAAACCAGAUGCAAAAAGACAAAUAUUGUAUGAUUCCACUUAUUUGAAAUAUCUAGAAAAGCAAAUUCAUAGAGACAGAAAGCAGAUUAGAGGUUACCAGGGGCUGGGAGAGGGAGGAAUGGAGAGUUAUUGCUUAAUGGGUACAGAGUUUCUGUUCAAGGUGACGAAAAAGUUUUGGAAACGGUGGUGAUGGUUGCACAAUGUUGUGAAUGUAAUUAAUACCACUGAAUUGUACACUUUAGAAUUGCUAAAAUCAGAAAUUUUAUGUUAUGUAUAUUUUAUCACAAUAAAAAAUUCAAGA